CAGCAGCCGCGGUAAUACGUAGGGUGCAAGCGUUAAUCGGAAUUACUGGGCGUAAAGCGUGCGCAGGCGGUUAUAUAAGACAGAUGUGAAAUCCCCGGGCUCAACCUGGGAACUGCAUUUGUGACUGUAUAGCUAGAGUACGGCAGAGGGGGAUGGAAUUCCGCGUGUAGCAGUGAAAUGCGUAGAUAUGCGGAGGAACACCGAUGGCGAAGGCAAUCCCCUGGGCCUGUACUGACGCUCAUGCACGAAAGCGUGGGAAGCAAACAGGAUUAGAUACCCCAGUAGUCCCUGUCUCUUAUAC
rnacentral:rRNA from 1 species